CCCUUAGAUGUUCUGGGCUGCACGCGCGCUACAAUGUCGGAAUCAGCAAGUUCCUGCGCCGAAAGGCAUGGGUAAUCACGAGUUUCCGACGUGAUGGGGCUAGACCCUUGCAAUUCUUGGUCUCCAACGAGGAAUUCCUAGUAAACGCAAGUCAUUAACUUGCAUUGAUUACGUCCCUGCCCUUUGUACACACCGCCCGUCGCUGCCCGGAACUGAGCCGUUUCGAGAAGACUGAGGAUUGCUGACUUGAGGCCUUCACGGGCUUCUAGUCGGUGAAAAUCAAUUUAAUCGCAGCGGCUUGAACCGGGCAAAAGUCGUAACA
rnacentral:rRNA from 1 species